rnacentral:lncRNA from 1 species
GGGUCUUGCUAUGGCUAGCGUGGCCUUGAACCCACUCUGCCGCUCUGACAGGCUCUGUGGCCCUGAAUGGAAAGACUACAGGAUUCUGUCCCCAGGUAGUCAGGUGACUUUUGUUGUAGGCAUUCACUCAGUCACAGAGCGGGAGCCCCAAGGAGGUGCCUCUAAGUGGCAGUGGAAGAGGCCUAGCUCUAUGCCAGGGAGGGACUACACGGGGCUCCUCCCUGGUUUCAGCUGUGUCCUCUAAAACCUCCAUUGCUAGGUGCCCACAGAGCUAGCCUGGCCUUGCCAGGCUGUGCAGAGGGGACUCCAGACAGUCCUGGCCACAUCCAGUCUACUGACCAGUUAGUUCACGGGUUAGAGCUUAGAGCCCUUGACUUCAGAGCACCUCCAGCUCCUUCACAAUUCCUCAGCCCUUCUUGGUUCUUCACAUGUGGCCACCAGGAGGCACUCAAGGCCAAUUUUUUUUUCCUUUUCUGCGCAUAAGCCACCCAAAAUGGUCAGGGCCUAGCCAACUGGUGCAGCUGUCAGGCCUAUGUCUCCCCCACUGCGUGCACCUGUCCCAGCUGAUGGGGACAGGUGGUUGUGGUCCCACCUGAGCAGCACUCGGUGUCCGGUGGUAGAUGGUGCUCCAGUUGGCCUUCUGGUGGCUGCCCACCAUGAACAAUUGUAAGCUAGCACGGGCCCUGCAAAUCUGGCAGCUUUUAACUUAGCCUAAGACUCUUAACUUGACCAGACAGGGAUGGUCUUCAGUCCUGGCUCUGCCUGGCCCACGCUCCACGUGUCCCCGUGUGAUCCCAAUGUCAUCAGGGUGGUAGGUGCAACACUGGGUGUGGGGCAGAAAGGGCAGAUCUGUGCUACCCCUGCCCCCACAGGCUGUUCCGGAUUCUAAACUCUGGCUGCUCCCUCCCUUGUAGAUUGUAGUCAUCUUUAUAACCUAAACCAAAUGUCACUCCCUGAAAGAAGCCUUCAGAACACACCCUCCCCAAACAGCCACCCUCAGUGUUGGUCUCUGGGCCUGCAUGACUUGACUUUCCUGAAGCUAGGCAGCUCCAUUCUGUCCGGGGGCCAUGGAACCUGCCCUGCCUACUGGGGGUUCUGUUCCAUGAAUGAAUGGAGGAAGAAAAGCGGUAGUGGCCAGAGAGCCAGGAGUGUGGAGUGCGAUGAGAAAAUGUGGUAGGAUGGAGGAAGAAGAGGAGGAGAGGGGCUGGCCCACUUUGCCCCCAGUGAUCCUGAGGCUCAAGGAUCACUAGCAAGUUCUUGUUCUACUCAAGCCCCAAUUCCCUGUCCCAUUUAGGCCUCAUGUCCUAUAUCCUGGAUCCUACCCUCCUGUCCCCCCCAGCUAAGCCUCCAGCAGGCAGAUGGGUAAGGUCAAGAUGAAACCUGGCCAAGGCCCCUGAGCACCUUGCUCUCUGGUCUGAACAGUGCCAUAGUGCCUAGAUCUCUGGAGGCUGGAGCUCCGAUCUUCAGGGCCAUCUGAGGAGCCUAAGGCCCUGGGGACCUGGUGCCUCACCGAGCAACCUGUGUGUGGCUGUGUGUCUUUCCACAGAGGCUGCCAGGCUUAAGCCUUCUGAUGGUUAGUUAGUAGAGCUGGUGUGGGUUCCUGGGCCUGGCAGAGGGUUUCUGGGUGGGACAUGUGAGUACUUCGGUGGAUGCUUCAUGCCAACAGUGAACGAGGCUGUGGCUUUUCCUGCUGCCUGGCGUGAGAUUCACCCUGUGACCUAAGAAGCUCUCAGAAGCAAACACUUGUGCAGGAGGGGCACAUCGGUUCAGGCGGCACCUCUCACAGGGAUAGGCCAGGAUGAACUAGGUAUUGGCAGCACGCCCAAGUGGAAGUAUGGACCUGGCUUCCAAAGUCCUGUGACUAUACCCGCUCCCGAGGCUACUCCGGAAGGGCAAGACCCAGGAAAGAUAGGACAUAAUAGAUGGGGUAAAACACUGUAUACUUCCAGUAGAUGGACAGCAAUGGGAUAUGAGUUUCCCUGCAGCUAAACCACGGAGGGAACCAAGAUUUCUCACGCUAAUAUUUUUUUGGAGCCAAUGAAAUUGCUUAGCAGGUAGACACUUGCAACCAAACCUGGCAGCCUGAGUCAGUCUCUAAGACCCACACAGUGGGAGGAGAGAGCCAGUCCUCACAGACCAUCCUUUGACUUCCACACACAACCAUACACAAAUGUACACACACACACACACACACACACACACACACACACACACACACAGGCAACCUGACUGAAUCCGACUGGUCAAUAGUUUCUUGGAAUGGACACUGCUGGAGCACACAGCCUCCUAGCCGUGUCUGGAGAGGAAGCGGGAAGCUGUCCCUCUGUAAGCAUAGAUUGGGUCAGCUAAGCAGGUGGAUGUCCUGGGCCCAGGAGGAUCUGGUGUAAAGUCCUACUGUGAGUGCACACCUUGGUACUGCCAAAGCCAGGAGAGACGGAGCUCAACUUAAAGGUACAGACCUGUUCUCUUAGGACAUCAGUCCAAAUGGCGAAAGACAUUGCUGUAGGUCUGAGGUCACCUUUGUUCCUAGAUCAAGGAGGCUCAGAACAUAAGGCUCUAGCUGAGGUGCUUAGGACUCAUCAAGGGGCAAGAUCCUGGAAACUGACCAUGCAGCCUGACACUUGUUUGUUUGCUUGUUUGUUUUGGUUUUUCGAGACAGGGUUUCUCUGUAUAGCCCUGGCUGUCCUGGAACUCACUCUGUAGAUCAGGCUGGCCUCGAACUCAGAAAUUCACCUGCCUCUGCCUCCCAAGUGCUGGAAUUAAAGGUGUGUGCCACCACGCCCGGCGCAGCCUGACACUUGUACAUGGCACAUGAGAGUAGGUAGGCAGAGGUAUCUGGAUGUGUGGGCAAUGUCAAUGAGGCUAUGGAGGGCCGGGGCCACAGUGCAGCCAGGGGAAACCUACUGGAGUCUUACAGAAACACGCUUGGGUAAAGCUAGGUAAAGAAUUUCUGAAGUUCAUGUUGGGCAGAAUAGGACAAGGGGCUGCCUCAGUGAAGUUCACUGGGAUCCGAGAAACUUACACCCCAAAGUCCUUAAGGAAAAGCUGCACAGUCACUAUGUCAUCCACAGAAGAGGACAACAGCAGGUACCACCUGACUCUCAUGACACAAAAGGCUGGGCUGUUGAGAGUGUGGGCUGGGGGAGGGGCAGACAGGUCUAGGAUAUCUCCAGGAUAGAGAAUCCUUAUCUUCAGCCGUGAGGGGUACAAGGCUGCUUUGGUUUGAGCAGGAGUCUGGGGGUGGGGGGUGUCCUAGGAAUGGAGCUAAGGAUGGGCAGGAAGGUUUGAAGUGGCCAGCAUGGCGGUGGGAGUGGGGGGUGGUCAGAGGAGGGAGGCUUGUCCAUGGAAAAACAGCUUCCUCUCCCAUCCCCUCACAUUCUUCUAAAAAUGUGCCCAAGCCUGCCUCCCCCCUCUUUGAAGGGACAGAUGUCGGGGGGAAAAAGCUGAUUAUUGUCAAAGGCUGGAGGCUGUGACCGGAGUGCUCGGUGAGCGUGACCCAAUUCUGAGCUAUUCUCAGCCUGGUGGGAGCCAAGUUAUUCCCUCCCGCUGAAGAUCCCGCCUUGGAGGCAGCCUGACUUUGAAACGCCCUCGUCCUGGCAAAAGACUCAAAGCAGGCUGGCCAGGCUGCUCUGCAUGGACAGGGCCAUAUUUGCUGAUGACCCCCAUGCAGAGCCCACGGGCUAGGCUCACUUAAGACACACAGCAGGGCAAAGAAAGAGCAGCAAGGGCUUGCUCCUCUUUCUCCCCAGAUCUGCUGUUCCUUCUCUCAUUCCCCAGAUCUGUCUAGGCCAGCCAUGGGGUACGCUUCAACCAGUGACUGGGGGGGGGUGUCUAUGGACACAAUGAGACUAAAGGCUUGGCCAGCACCAGCACAGCUGGGCUGGGACCUACUGUACCUAAGCUCGUGAUGCUGGCACACGUCCCAGGAGCAGGAGAGGCAGCCAGCGGCAGCAGGCUGACAUUGGCUCAGCUCUACCCUGAGCCUUGCAAGAGAAGGUCUGACCGCUGUUUAGUCCUUUGUGUGUGUGUGUGUGUGAUGUCACAUGUUACCCAGCAUGUCUAAGGCAGCAGCUAGUGGGUAUGUAUACCUACCUGGGAAAUUGGAAAGGUCAAAAGAGAGGCUGUGUGCUCAGACCCAGGCCAGGUAGGACUUCU